ACUGCUCGGGAAUACUGGUCGUUGUAAAAUACUCAAAUUACGGAAUAAAGCCUCGCCCCUCGCACUCAAGGGAUAGACGCUGGCAGUAAUACCUCACGGUUAGCGAAAAACAUUGUACCCACUGCGAAACUGCGUAGCUUCCCGUUAGAUCUGACUGUAGUUCCGGGAUCCUUUCCGAGCUGCUAAGUAUUUUGCUUCUAAUUGGAUGAGACCCGGCUCCCGCUUCCAGAUCGCCCUGCCCACGACCUCGCUCCACCCCUGUAUAGGCCUGCCCGCGCUCUUCCAGGCAGCAGUUGCUCCAACCUCCCGAAGUUUAGAAGCGGAAGUGGGGCUGGAAAGUAGGUCCGGGUUGCGGCCUGCACAGUAGCCCCUUCCUGGCCUGUGGUGACGAGGCAGCUGGAGUUGCACACCGGACCGGGCGGCUGCUACGCUGACGUGGCCCCCGGAAGUGGGGCUGGCGCAGGGCCGCCAUGUUGCCGCAGGACAGUAAUGAUGACGCUGAAGAUGUUUCACUGUUUGAUGCAGAAGAAGAGACAGUUAGUAGAUCAACAAGAUCCAAAAUCAGACAUCCGGUGGCAUCAUUUUUCCAUUUGUUCUUUCGAGUCAGUGCAAUUAUAGUCUAUCUUCUGUGUGAAUUGCUCAGCAGCAGUUUUAUUGCCUGUAUGGUGACCAUUAUCUUGUUGUUGUCAUGUGACUUUUGGGCAGUGAAGAAUGUCACAGGUAGGUUAAUGGUUGGCCUACGUUGGUGGAAUCAUAUUGAUGAGGAUGGAAAGAGCCACUGGGUGUUUGAGUCCAGGAAGGCAACUUCUCAAGAGAAUAAAAGUGUUUCAGAGGCCGAAUCAAGAAUAUUUUGGUUAGGACUUAUUGCCUGUCCAGUGUUGUGGGUGAUAUUUGCCUUUAGUGCUCUCUUCUCCUUCAGAGUAAAGUGGUUGGGUCUGCCUGUUUUUUUCCUGGUCCCAGGCGGUGGUUAUCAUGGGUGUGGUGCUACAAGGUGCCAACCUGUAUGGUUACAUCAGGUGUAAGGUGGGCAGCAGGAAGAAUUUAACCAGCAUGGCUACCUCAUAUCUCGGGAAGCAGUUUUUAAGACAAAAUGAUGAGUGGCUGGGUGAAAAUUCCCAUGGAACCCCUUAAUGACUGGCUCCAUGAAGUCUUGGUGAAGCUCCAGCCUCUGAGAAGGUGCCUGUUGGCCUCUUGGUCAGAAGAGCCCAUGUCACGUCAAGCAGGACAUGAAGAAGAUGGUGACCUUGAAAUUCAUACUAUUCUGGACACUGUGCUCUUGGACCCUAGAAACCUACCCCUCAGCCCCUUUGAUACUUAUGGUGUAUGUAUAUGUAUAUGUGUGGGUGUGUGUACAUGUGUGUACAUGCACACAUGUAGGAAAGUAAGAUUGAUGGCAAUCAUCUGGCACCAGGGCAUAGGUAGAGCCCAGAGUGUUGAUGCAGUGGUGUUGGAUAGAAUAGUCUUGUGAUAGGACUAAAAAUUCCAAAGACAUUUUUACUUGGUCUGCAGAAAAAAAAACCCCUAAAAUUUCACCUGUUUAAGUUCCUUGUGAACUGUUGAGACGAGGGUCUCAGUUCCUCACAGGUUGUUGGCUGGAAAUAUUCCCUAGUUCCUUGCCACACAGGCCUCUGCAUAGGGCAGCUUAUAUCAUGCAGCCAGUGGCCCUCAGAAUGAAAGAGAGAGAGAGAGAGAGAGAGAGAGAGAGAGAGAGAGUUGGGAAGGGAGGGAAGGGGAGAGGAGAGGAGAGAGAGAGAAGGAGGAGAAGAGAAAGAGCAUGCAUAAGACAGCAUCCAAGGUGAAGGUUAAAAUUUUUGUAAUAUAAUCUCAGAAGUGAUGUUACUGGGUUUUAGGGUGCUGGAGUGGACCCUCUUUCCAGACGUGGUUUCUAGGUUCCUCUUGUCUUGAAGAAGAAACUGGACAAAACAAUUAGAAAAGGUAAUGAGGUUUUAUGUUUAUGAAAGGUAGGAAAAGAAAUGUGCUCUGGAGAGUGAGUUUGGGCCAAAUAAAAGUAGGAAAAGAAGUAUAAUCUGCACUGUGAGAGCAGACUACUGUGAAAGAGAACUGUAGUCCAGAGCUCAGUGGUUACUGUCCUUUUGUGUCUCCCACUCCUCAGGCUGUCAGGUCUAGGCUGUCCUAUGGGAAACCUGUUCAUGUUCUCCCGAAACUGAAGAUAGCACUCUCUGGUUGGUUUCACAUAGAGAGCUUUGGGAACUGUUCUGCACAUGUGUCCUGGAACAUUGUAAUUAACAGGUCACACUCUCUUCCCCAGCCAGGUUUGCCAGGCCCUGAUCUCCUGCCUCAGUGAUAUCCCUUCACUUUGGCUAUACUCUGCUAGAAGUGAAAUUACUACAUAUGGCUCAUCAUUUCACAGGAUGACCAGCAGGAAGUGAGAUCCUUGGAACAUCAUGAAGUAUGCUUAUCACAGGCCUCAUGGCCUCAGUUGCUGUUGAGCCUUUGUUUAGCCUGUGGGCACUGUCCGCAGCAGUUCUGAGAAAUCAUGAGUUGUGAAGGGCAGAGGGAGAUGAUUUCUAUAUACUUACUCCUCCUGGGAAAAGGAUUCCUUUGUUGGCACAGCAUUCCAAAGGGGCAAAUAAUUCUGAGUUCCUAAAUUAGUUACACUUAACCUCCACCUAUUCCACUUUCACUUUAAGGAAGACACCAUCAAUUCGA